AUACUUACCUGACGCGAGAGGCACCUUGAUCAGCUAGGAGGUCCUCUCAGGAUGAGGCCCUUUCAUUGCACUUCGACUGGGUUGACUCCUGCGAUUACCCCUAAUGUGGGUAACUCGAGCGUAUAAUUUCUGGUAGUGGGGACCUGCGUUCGCGCUUGUCCCCU
rnacentral:snRNA from 1 species